GACGAACGCUGGCGGCGUGCUUAACACAUGCAAGUCGAACGAUGAUGCUGGAGCUUGCUCCAGUUGAUUAGUGGCGAACGGGUGAGUAACACGUGAGCAAUCUGCCCUUGACUCUGGGAUAACUGCGGGAAACUGUAGCUAAUACCGGAUACUUUCACCGGGGGGCAUCCUCUGGUGAUGAAAGAAUUUCGGUCAAGGAUGAGCUCGCGGCCUAUCGGCUUGUUGGUGAGGUAACGGCACACCAAGGCGACGACGGGUAACCGGCCUGAGAGGGUGACCGGUCACACUGGGACUGAGACACGGCCCAGACUCCUACGGGAGGCAGCAGUGGGGAAUAUUGCACAAUGGGCGCAAGCCUGAUGCAGCAACGCCGCGUGAGGGAUGAAGGCCUUCGGGUUGUAAACCUCUUUUAGCAGGGAAGAAGCGAAAGUGACGGUACCUGCAGAAAAAGCACCGGCUAACUACGUGCCAGCCGCCGCCGUAA
rnacentral:rRNA from 1 species